rnacentral:rRNA from 1 species
CCUACGGGUGGCAGCAGUAGGGAAUCUUCCACAAUGGGCGAAAGCCUGAUGGAGCAACGCCGCGUGGGUGAAGAAGGUCUUCGGAUCGUAAAACCCUGUUGUUAGAGAAGAAAGUGCGUGAGAGUAACUGUUCACGUUUCGACGGUAUCUAACCAGAAAGCCACGGCUAACUACGUGCCAGCAGCCGCGGUAAUACGUAGGUGGCAAGCGUUAUCCGGAUUUAUUGGGCGUAAAGGUAACGCAGGCGGUCUUUUAAGUCUGAUGUGAAAGCCGUGGGCUUAACCGGAGUAGUGCAUUGGAAACUGGGAGACGUGAGUGCAGAAGAGGAGAGUGGAACUCCAUGGGUAGCGGUGAAAUGCGUAGAUAUAUGGAAGAACACCAGUGGCGAAAGCGGCUCUCUGGUCUGUAACUGACGCUGAGGUUCGAAAGCGUGGGUAGCAAACAGGAUUAGAUACCCCGGUAGUC